ensembl:lncRNA
AAUUCCUCUUCCACACAGAGUAAAUUGGAUCCUGGUCUGAAUGCAGGAACGACAACAAUUUUUGCAUGGGGUUGAAUCAAGUCGAACAGUACAGUUUCCAAAAGAUCAUCUACAGAAUUUGUAAAGCAUGUCAAAGCAGACACUGUCCAGAAUUAAUGGAACGGUCCUAAUGGAACCAGUGAAAGACGGACACGUUGACGUAGCAAACAAUAUAAGCGAACGUGAAGUGGCCAUGAUAUUGAUUGCCUGCAGCUUGAGAAGCAAAGAGAAGCUGCAGGAACAGCUGACUCCUUUUGAGGCAUGCUGGUCACUUAGAGAAUUUUGGUCCCAAACACCACCUGUCACCAUGAACAUCCUGCCCAUUGUUUUCGUAACUCUCUUCAUGUCCCUUCUCAUUGAACCAGGUUUCAUGUUGGUUAUACGCUAUCCGGAUCAAUGCAAACAGAGCAAAGGGAAGUGUCGAAACAAAUGUCAGCCAAACGAGAAAGUCAUUGGGAAGUGCAGUGAUUCUGCAUACUGUUGCCUAGUUCGAAAACAACAUGUGUGUCCUAAACAUCCCUUACCCAAGCGUGGAUGAAGAGGUGAAUGGGGAGGAAUGAAGGCUGACAGGUUGGUAAAUAUAAAGGAGCCAUUUUGUGUUCUGCGUUUUGGCUUCUAUGUUUCCUGGUCAACAGAGAGCAACAGCAAAAAUGAUACCAGGAUCCCCUGAACUGCCCUUACGCCUACUGUCACCAUCACCACUAAUAAAUGCAACCAUGGACAAGAAUGAGAAGGUCCC